rnacentral:rRNA from 1 species
GAUGAACGCUGGCGGCGUGCCUAAUACAUGCAAGUCGAGCGAACAGACGAGGAGCUUGCUCCUCUGACGUUAGCGGCGGACGGGUGAGUAACACGUGGAUAACCUACCUAUAAGACUGGGAUAACUUCGGGAAACCGGAGCUAAUACCGGAUAAUAUAUUGAACCGCAUGGUUCAAUAGUGAAAGACGGUUUUGCUGUCACUUAUAGAUGGAUCCGCGCCGCAUUAGCUAGUUGGUAAGGUAACGGCUUACCAAGGCAACGAUGCGUAGCCGACCUGAGAGGGUGAUCGGCCACACUGGAACUGAGACACGGUCCAGACUCCUACGGGAGGCAGCAGUAGGGAAUCUUCCGCCAAGGGCGAAAGCCUGACGGAGCAACGCCGCGUGAUUUAUGAAGGUCUUCGGAUCGUAAAACUCUGUUAUUAGGGAAGAACAAAUGUGUAAGUAACUAUGCACGUCUUGACGGUACCUAAUCAGAAAGCCACGGCUAACUACGUG